CGGGAGUAUAUGAGGUGACUUGUAUAUGAUUUGCUGCUACAAUUAGCCUAUUCUGAAAAGCAAAAAUAACUGAGAAGAAUCUCUCUCACCAAAAGGCAACGCAACAAAGUUUUGUGACGAAAAUGAGAAGAAACACAUGGCAUCUCUCCUUUAAUGGGAUGGACAUCAUCAGAGGUCAUCAUCACUGACAAAGAUGAACAAUAAAGCACACUCUAGGCAAAUGAUAAUGAUCCAGUGUGGCAGGAAGUCAGGUACACUUUACUCACUGUGCCAGCUUCUGGGUGGUUCCAGGCAGAAGCAGAAAACCCAGGGGUAGAGCUGCAAUGAUUCACUCGAUGAAAGAAUGGAAAGACAAGGUCAAAUGAGGUGGGAGAGACAGGCAAAUGAAAACAGGUGAGUAUGUCAUAGGCAUACAUGAGAAAGAGAAAUUUACGGUAAGAAAAAAACUUGCAGCUGUGUUUACCAGAAAUUCACAGUAUUACAAGAUGGCAUAGUGAUGACUGUUUUAAAACUUAUAACUGUAUAUUUAAGUGAUAAAAUGAUAACAUUCCAAGAUACUUGGACUAAAAAAAAAAAAAAAAAAAAUCUAAAUUUUACCUAUAAAUAUACCGAUAACCAUCAUAAUAAUACAGGGGGCACAAUAGAAAAUCAAAUGAUGGAUCAGAGCUCAUAAAACAUGUCCAUGUAUAUACUGUAGAUGUGCACAGAGUCAUACACACUACAAACAAAACAGCAUCAGAGAAACAAACACAACGUUAAAAUUAUACGUGAUGAUAAAAGUUAAAAAAAAAUUAAAAACUACAAAUAAACCAAUGAAAUUUAAAAUUGAAAGAGAAAGAGAACUUGUUGUUAAAAUAACAACAACAACAAAAAAAGUUUCAUUUUCAAUUAGUGAAAAAUCGAAUAUCAACUGGGUAAUUUGAGCAGGAUAAACAGACCUAAAAGUUGUUAUUGAUCACCAGCAGCUGGCUAUUUCAACAAGUAAAACAUUACGUUUUGUAACAGACUGAUACUAGAGAACAAUCCACAACACCUGCUAAACUUGAAAACUUUAUCUUGAGAACUUUAUCUAAAUUCUAUAUUUAUAAUUUACCUUUAAAAACAUCAGCGAAGUGUGAGACUAUUUGUAUUAGUAUGUUUUCUCAGCGGGGAAAACCCAGCUCUGGAUUGUUUAAAUAUGCUGUUCCUCUGAAUGCACACGUGUAUCAGCUUGUUUCCUGGUAAAUGAGAAUUACGCACUGAUAUUUGCAAAUAAUUGACAACUUUAUGUGGCAAAAUACAGAAAUUCUGCACACCUCCUCACUUUGGGAAAGCAAGAACAUUUGUGACCUGCUACUCAACGACAGACAUAUUCCUGUACCUCAAAACAGACGGAGGAGAAAAGAAACAGAUGAGCCACAAAUGACUAUAUUCUUUAUGAAUCCCCUUCAGUUUUGCUGUAAGAAUGGGAGUAUCUAAGACAGGAACAAAUGAGCUAAAGGGUUUAUGCUUAUCAAAUUAGUAUCAGUAGUUUAGAAUAGUAGUAUAGAAAUUAUUAAUUAUUAUAACUACUUAUGUAAUAAGUCCAAUAAUAAAAUACCUCCAACAAAAAACAAAUAAAAUAAUAACUAAUAGCUGAAUAACAACACAAGUAAAUAUUUAUAUUGUCAGGAUGUCAGAACACAAUUUGUUUGAAACAUGUUUCUUCAUUGUUUGCUUCUCUUAAUUUAGCCAGCAUAUGCUCUUGCUUUGUUCCCUGUCAAAUCACCUGCCUUGCAAACAUCUGUGAGUGAAACAGAAAAACCGUAACUGAAGUGCGCAAGCAUAUGGAGAGCACAAUUCCGCAGAAGAGUCAAUGCCUCAGAAGACAAACAACACAGGCUCAGUGACUCAAUAUCUCACUCCUGUUUUUAGAUGCACAACACUAAACCUAAUGUCUCUCUGAAAAUCAGAGAGAAAUGUUGCUGCAAUGAUGUUCCAGGAUCAACAAGGAUGCUGAUGCUGAUCCAGAAACAGUGUUUACACCGAGGCCAUAUUGAGAACCAAACAGAACAAUUCUGCUCACGAAAGCAAUCAUCUGUAUAUCUCCCAGACCUUCUCCUGUAGCUCUAACCCUAAUAACACACCUGAACCUGAGCUGAAACUUCCAGGUAAGUGUGUUGGAGCUACAGGAUGCUGGACCUCUAGAAGGAGACUUGAGAUAAAAAAAAAAAAAAAACAACCAUGAUAAACAAUUAUUACAAAAACAGUGCAUUAUGAUUUAACUGAACUGUUUUCUAUUUUAGUGCACUUUAAAAUGUGAUUUAGACAUGUUUUAUUAUGAUCAGAAUUGAAAACUCUUUUUUUAGGAUUCUAUGAAGAACAUUUUUGUAUAAUUUUGGUAUAAAUAGCAGUUUAAAGAGGAAAAAAUGAGCCCUUUUUUGACAUACCGUUCAGCUUUGGCAUGAAAUCUCUGAAUCGAAAUUGUUGUUGAAGCCCUAAAUCGCAUUUUUUUUUUCUUGGAGAGCAGAGGUUUUGAUUUCAGGUCAAGCGUCUAAAAUAGAGAUAUCAGCAUUUGGACAGUAACAGGACCCAAAAGAAUCUGACAACCAAGGGAGUCCAAAUCUAAUCUAACCUAAAUUCCUAGCAACUGCAUUCCAAAGCAGUCAUUCAAUCCAAUUUUGUCUAAAAGAGGGAAGAAUCAAAAUGCCAGGUCCUUCGUCUCUAGCUUCAGCUGUAAUGGAUAAUGUGUGGUUUAAGUUUUCCAGUACAUUUUUAUUAUAGUCAGAAACAGGUUCCUCAUUUACCCCCUGCUAUAUGUCCUAAAAGUCGCUUGUCUAGGAAACAACUGUUAAACAUGACAAGAGAUGUUUUUUGAAGGAAAUAAGCGUUACUCAACAAAAUACCGAGGCAUGACAUUGCAAAAAAUGAAAAGCGCAAGCAUCUUGAUGCCUGGAGUGCUGGCCAUAUGUGAAGAUGCUGGAGAAAGUAAUUGUAGACUUUUGAUUCUCAGAAUCUUAAACAAAUUGGUUUGGUCGAAAAGUUGACGUUAAAGCAAUUCGUAGUAGACAAGGUGUUAUUUAUGGCCAUAAUGUAGAUGACUGAUGGAGAUUUACCACACAAAGUGUGUUAACUAAGAGGAAAACGUGGAGUGAUUGAGCGGCUAGGUGGAUGGAGAUGGAUGGCUCAAUGAUAACCCCCACUACCCACUGGCUUUGUGGGGGCCAGUGCUAUUAGCAUGUCCAUGUAACAAUAAAUCACCAAUCCCACACACACACAAACUCACGCACACCCUCGGUGCUUCACAGCAAUGAUAGAUGGGCCCCUUCAGGCCUGUGUGUCGCUGUCAGUGUUCAAAUUAAACCCGAGCCCCUCCCAGAAUCCCUCCCAAACACCUUGACUGAAGGGGAGGACACACAGAGAGCGCUCAGAGGAAGCCAGAGUUUUGUUUCUGUAACCUUUGACUCCCGGAGCCCAUCAAUAACCUCCCAGCAGCACUGAGAGAGGGAGGGUGGGCUGCCAUCCAUCUUCAUUGGAGGAGAGGAGAACGUGCGCUCGCUGUCUCUCCUCUCUUCCCCUAUCACUCCAUCUUCUCCCACACUCUCACUUCACUUUCACUCACAACCUUUUGUCUUGUCAUUCUCUCUCUCCCUGAACGUGCGGGUUGUCUCCUGUGAAUCUCGAUGUUGAUGUACAGGAAAUCAGAUAUACAAAUUGGCCGAGUUGUGAUUUUCACCUCAACUAAAAUAAACCGAACCAACUAGAAAUGACAGUGAAAGCAAUUUCUGCUUCUACAAUAUUUUUGACAAAGCACUGAAAAAUAAGGUUUAUAUUCACUACUGUUCAAAAGUUUGGGGUCAGUAAGAUUUUUUUGAAUGUUGUUGAAAUAAGUCUUUUGUACUUACCAAGGGUGUAUUUAUUUGACCAAACAGUAAAAUUGUGAAAUAUUAUUGCAAUUUAAAUUACAAUAUUCAAAUAGAAAACCAUUAAUUCAGUUUAUUGUAAUAUACUCCUGUCAAACUUACAGCAGCCAUUAUUCCAAACUUCGUUCAAAUAUGGUGAUUUGAACAUUUCUUAUUUCUUAUAAGUUAAAAACAGUUUUGCUGCUUAAUAUUUUGUGGAAACUAUGAUAAAUUAUUUUCAGGAUUCUUUAAUGAAAAGGAAUGUUUUUUUUUUAAUAGACAUCUUUUGUAACAUCUUAAAAGUCUUUACGUUUGGUUUGAUUUAAUUUAACACAUAUUAUAACAUUUUGACGUAAUAUUUUUAUCAUGUUAUUCUCAGGCAACAAUAGGAUUUGAUGUACAUAAACCACUUACGUUUCCUAAUUAAAGUUGAGGUGCUUAUUUGACACAUUGCUGACUUGUUACACAUGACCAGUUUAAUAUUCAGUCUUAUUUUUACACUGGGGUUCAUCCAUCUCAAUGCAAAAAUGAGCAUGCUGUCAACAUCAAAUACAGCUUUGAUCAGUUUGCCAAGUGAUUGUUGGUCACUGUCCUGGUACUGAACAGAUAAACUGCGGCAUAGAGAAAAAGAGACAGACUGAGAUUAGUUCACAGAUUACCAUAUUUCCAUAAUCAGUCAGAUAUGAAGCCAUGGCAGACACUAUGCAAACAUCAAGCCACUGUUCUUCCCUCUUCUGCAUUUUCAUCUGACCCAUUUCCAAACACACUCGCAGAUUUUAACAAUAACUUAUAUAAAGGCAUAUAAACAUGCAGGUUAUUUUUAACUCUCUUCCGUAAGAGACAAAGAUCAAUGGGUGACAUGCUUCAGUUUCAUUUCUCCUUUUCUGUUCUGGGCAAAUGUUUAUUCUAUGCUCCCCUGCACGCUAUCUUGUCUCUCUGGAUAUUGAGACUAGUGAGACAGCAGUGACCUCACCUGACCUCUGCUGCUCUGGACACACAAAACAAGGCCACUUUUACUAGAUACAUUCAAUGUCUUUCCUAAUGGGACAGUUAGUAAAACAAAUAUUUCUAAAGUGAAUUCCUUAUCAGAUAUCAAAAAUACUGAAUUACAAUGCGCCUCCAUUCAUCUUGGGUUGUUUUAACAUUUUGACCAUAUUCUAAGGCAAUACUGAUCUAAACACAAGGUCUGCCGCAAGAAAUGUUUGUACAAUUAACAGAGACAACCAUAUACAGCAUGAUAUUCCCACACGUUGCUAAUAGAAAAAAUUCUUAAUAUGUUCUUAAUGUGUUAAAAAAGUUGAGUAAUUUACUGAAAUUGCUGACCAAUUUUAUGUAUUUGGAAAAUAACAUUAUAAUUAUGUGCAACAGAUUUUCUUAAUGGGAAUUUUCUACUUUACAAAAAUUAAGAAAAAAAACACAUUUUAAAUCAUGUAACAACCUGGAUGUUUCUCUCAGCAUCUGAACAUAGUUAUAUAGUGCUAACAACGUGGAAUUAAGCAGUUGCAUGAUAUAAUUAUUAAAUACACAUAUGUAGUUCAUUAGUAUUUCCCAGUACUUACAUAAAAAUUACAAAUGUGCUAUAAAAAACUAUUUAUAAUAAUUAAUAAUUUGCCAAUUAUUCCUUAAUUAUUCCCUAAAUGUGCAUGCAGAAGAGCAUGAUCUGCAAUGAAGAUAUUUUCUCUGUCUUGUAAAAUACAUUAUUUAUCUGAUGUGUUUUUGUAGCACUACCCGGGAGAUCACAACAUCUGUUGAAGCAAGAGAUACAUCUGUUUCUGGCAGAUCAUCCGUCUUCUUCUUCUUCUUUGUAAUGGCCCAUUUGAGGACACAUGACAAUCUUUUUGUUCUGCUAAAAACAACAUGCAAAUGUGAAGCCUGAUCUUGAUCACAUCUUUUCUGUCAUCUCUUUCCUUCUCUCUAACACGCACAAAACUCAAAUCUUUAACCAAACAUUGCUGUUGGGGUAUAUGCAACAAUGUAAAAGUCUUACUGUCUUAAAGUCUUACUGUUAAUGUGUCCCUGUUGGAAAAAAAAUAAAUAAAUCUUACUGUCCCUCAACUUUUUUUGAAUGGAGGUAUAUGUACAGUAUUUUUGUGUUAUUUUAGGUCAUGAUUCAAAUGUGAUACUCAGCUUUAUAAAAUAGGUCCCCGCUUCUUUUCUUGAUGCUUUGAGCGGUCCUUAGUUUGGAAAGGGUUAAAUAACAGAAUCAAUCAAUGAAUGUGACUAAGUCAUCUUGAACUCACACUGGAUGUGAAGUCACCGUUGUCCGUGGACGACCAGCAUAAAAUUACUGCCUAUUGAAUUGUUAUAGAAAACUUUCCAAGAGGACUGCAUCACCAAAUUCCCUC